AGGGUGCCAGCAUCCCUCAGAGGUUCAGCGUGGGGAUCCCAUGCAGGGCAGGGAGGACCACAGGAGAGUGUCUCCCAGAACGGGGUGCACCAAGAACUGGAGCCUGAUAAGGCUGCUCUAGCCUCCUCUUCUUCCUCCUCCUCCCCUCCUCUCCUCCCGUCUUCCUCCCCUCCUAAUUCUCUCUUCCUCCUCUCCACCUCCUGUCCUCCUUUCUUCCUCCUCCUCCUCCCCUCGGCCUCUGCUUCCCCGCCCCUCCUCCUCAUCCUCUCUUCUCUUGCUCUCCUCUCUCUCUUCUCCCUCCUACUUUUCUCCUUCUCAUUUCCUUCUCUCUUCCUGUCCUCCUGCUCCUCUUCCUCUCUCUUCCACCUCCUCCAACUCUGUUCCCCUCCUCUCUUCUCCACCCCUCCCCCGCCUCCUCCUCUCCUCCUCCUUUUCCUCUGCCCCUCUUAUCUACUCCUCCUCUUCCUCCUCUCCUCUCCUUUGCUUCUCAUUCUCCUCACUUCCUCCUCUCCUCCUUUUCCUCCUCUCCUGGUCCUCCUUUCUGCCACCUCCUCCUCUCCUCUUUCUCCUCUUCCCUGCCUCCUUUUCUCCUCCUCCAUCUUUCCUCCUCUUCCUCCCCUCCUCCUCUCCUCCUUCUCCUAUACCUCUCCUCCUUUCCUCCCUCAUCCUGGUAUUCCCUUCCUUCUCCCUUCCUCCCCAUCCUCCCACCUCCACCUCCUCCCCUCCUCCUCUCCUCCUUCUAUUCUUCUCUCUUCCUCCUCCCCCAUCCCUCUCAUUUUCUCCUCCUCCUCCUCUCCCCCGCCUUCUCUCCUCCAUAUCUGCCUCUCCUUCACCUUCUUUCCUUCUCCUCUUCUCCUCUCCCCCUCCCCCCCCCCCCCCCCCUCCCCCUCCCCCCCCCCCCCCCCCCCUCUCCCCCCCCCCCCCCCCCCCCCCCGCCCCCUCCCCGGCGGUUUCUCUGCGCCCCGCCCCGCCCCUCCCCACCCCGAGCCCCGCCGUGCUUCUCUUGCCUCUGCUUCCAAAGACCCGUCCCCCAGCCCCUCCCCAGCGAUUUCUUUCAGCCCCACCCUCCUCCUCUCAGCGGCCUCCUCCCUCCCCGCGCCGGUUCUCAGGAGUCCGCAAGCACCUCCUGCAGCCUCGCUCAGAUUCCCCCACGACCCCACCCACAAUGGUUUCGCCCAGCCCCCCCAACCCCGCCCCAGCGAUUAUCUCAGUCCCUCCCUUCCCCUCCCCAGCUCCGCCCUCCUCCUGUCAGCCCCGAGCCCCCGACCCUCCCCCGUGGUUUCUCCCAGCUCCUACCUGCUGGUGUCGCAGCUCUGA
rnacentral:lncRNA from 13 species